UCAAAAACUCGCUUCCCAUUUUCAAAUUCCGCUUCUUGUAGGCCAGAGCGAUCAUUUAGCAGGUUCUUCAGCUUUUUAUGAAGCACCUUAAUUUGGUCCUCGGCAGGAUGCCUGAAUAUGGUGCUGUUGCCGAGCUGCUCCUUGAGGAAAAUCUGUACCUCCAGAAGCAACAUCUUUUCCUUGAUAAGCCGAAUCUUUC
rnacentral:lncRNA from 1 species